rnacentral:lncRNA from 1 species
CUUGCAUUCAUCAGAAAUUUGCUCCUUUUUAUUUAUGAAUAGCAUUCUAUUGCAUAAACAUACCACAGUUUGUUUAUCCAUUCUCCUGUUGAUGACUUCAGGACCUCCAACUGGCUGAGACCCAUAGAACACAUUUGGGUUGUUUCCAGUUUGGGACCAUUAUGAACAAAUCUGCUAUAUAUUUUUAUUUUAUUUAUUUAUUUAUUUAUUUAUUUUGAGGCAGAUUAGCCCUGAGCUAACAUCUGCUGCCAAUCCUCCUCUUUUUGCUGAGGAAGACUGGCCCUGAGCUAACAUCUGUGCCCAUCUUCCUCCACUUUAUAUGUUGGACGCCUACCACAGCACGGCUUGAUGAGCUGUGCCAUGUGCGAACCCUGGAUCCGAGCUGGCGAACCGUGGGCCACCAAAGGAGAAUGUCUGUGCUUAACUGCUGUGCCACCAGGCUGCCCGGUUGUGAACAUUUUUGUAUGAGAGUCUUGCGGUCAGAUGCAUUCUUUUUUCUUGGAUGAGAGCUGAAAACUACUGCAGCCAGUAAUGCAAGUGAGUGAACAGGGUGGAUAGGAACUGCGGAGAACAGGACUCAUCUCAAGGAGUAUCCAGCCGGUGCUUAGUGCAUUCUAGGUCUUCUGGAACUGUUUGCUGAACGGAAGAAGUUUGCUGAUCUUCGGUUCUGCCUACGCGCAGGGUUGGAGAAGUUGGCGGCGCGAUACUGUCAAUGACUCUUGCUGACCAUUAGAGGGCAGACUGACUCCACAGCGGUCCGGAACAGCGGCCCAGCGGUCAAGGGCUCCAAAACCCUCUCCCCAAUUUACGCCUCCGCUGGUCAUUUCCAGCACCAUCUCCCAGCACUACCACCAACCCCAUUUUAACAAUCCUCCUCAACACAAAACAAACACGCAAUCACAGUCCAGGAGCGGCCCUGAGGUCGCUCCUCUUUCCCCCUCCAGCCACCUACACGCUCUUCUUCCCCUUCCUACAACCAUUUGGAACUAAAGAGUUAAUUCCGCAC